rnacentral:rRNA from 1 species
GAUGAACGCUGGCGGCAUGCUUAACACAUGCAAGUUGAACGAAACUUUUAGUUGAGUAGCGGACGGGUGAGUAACGCGUAAGAAUCUACCUUUAGGAAAAGAAUAACAACUGGAAACGGUUGCUAAUACUUUAUAAGCUGAGAAGUUAAAAGGGUUUCCGCCUAAAGAUGAGCUUGCGUCUGAUUAGCUUGUUGGUAAGGUAAAAGCUUACCAAGGCGACAAUCAGUAACUGGUCUGAGAGGACGAUCAGUCACACUGGGACUGAGACACGGCCCAG